rnacentral:lncRNA from 1 species
UGCUUUGGCACUAUCAUGAUAGUUUCCUGAGUUUUGGAAUUGUUUUGGCACCAUGGUAUCUACCUUCUCCAUUGUCCCAAAUUGUGCUUUGGCACUAUCAUUAUGGAACAUCCUUCUUGCCAUCAAUGACCAUCCAUCCUGAUUCUGAACUGAAGUUUCCAGAGGCAGCAUCAUUAACGUGCUCUUGCUGGUGUGACUGAAGUGAGUCAUCAAGUACUCAUUUCAGUGACUGAAGUAGAACUCAGUUCACUCCUUAUGGCCUCUUCGACUUAAGCCAAAGGCCUAUGGGCAUUUAAACCCGAUUUUCUUGCACUAAAUCUGCAUGUGCACUGACCAAAGGCGUUCCUCAACGUGCUUUUCUUGCAUACAAUUUUCAUUGCUUUUGUCUUUCAGUUUCCCCAAGGUCUGACGCUUGUAGUUUGCUUCCCGUUCCCCUUCUCUCUGAAAAAUAUCAUCCUGCAUUGCCUCUUUCGUAUAAGCUACGCACCUCCCCCUUCCAGUUACAUGUAUGGUACCUACGUAUCCUAAAAGAAACAAUACAAAAAUGCAUGAAAUAGAAGAGUUCAUAUAUCUUAUAAAUAUUCAAAAUUUGUUGAAUAUGAGUAACUUAAAAGAAUAGAAAAUCAAUAAAUAAAAUAAAACAGAACAAAGUCAUUGGUGAAGAAGAAAACAGAGUGAAUUUGGAGGUGGAUUAUAGGACCUGAUUGAAUCAUGGAUCAACAAUGGAAAUAUGUGAGAAAACUGCUGAUAACAACUUUUUGUAAGUGAUUAUACAAACCCACAGUAUAUAACCUAAACAGAGAUUGAUGAGUUUAAGGCCCUGUAUAUGAAAAUAUAUAGCAAUUUACAAAACGAUUAUUCAGUCUGUUUUUACAUUGUUGAUGUUCAAACAUUAUUUUCUGGAAAAUGAGUUUUAGGGUUUUCAAUUUUUUUUUGUAAUUACUUAACAGUAAGGUAAAGUGAUGAAGUUCAUCCUCAAAAGACAGAAUAAAAAACGAACAUAGCAUAAUUUUAAAUUUAUUUUUACCUUAUUCUAUUCUGAAUAUAUUUAUAUAAAAACAAAAGAUGGCAGGCAGCUGUAAGUAACCCUAGCAGAUUUGAGUGGAGCAAAAACUUGUAAACCCCAAAUGGCAGAUUGGUCUCGACUCCUGCCGGAACUUGUAGUUCUAAUAGCCAAAUGCCUUGAAGCCCGAUUGAUAUUCUCAGAUUCCGAUCCGUCUGCUCUUCAUGGCGUUCCUCUGUUCCACUCCCACCAAAACUUAACCCUUUAUUACCCACAAAUCUCCCUUUACCAAGGCGUGGUAGAGGUGAAUGGUCUCUGAGCUAUAUUUCCGUAAACACCCUUUACCUUAUUAGAUCGUCUCGCGCUAACCAAACAGAAGCCCCAACUUGCUAGUUGGCCAAAAUCAGAGAUGCAACUGACCAUCACCGUGUCGAAAUGCAACUGUUGAAUCCUCCUUGGCUGGAACGUCCUCCGAGAAACUUUCCGAAGGUAUUGGAUUUAACCAACUUUCAGGUCCUUGAAUUGGGUCAUGAGCACGUUGGUCAUUAUGAUGUUAGUAUUGAUCAUCCUAUAGAGGCCCAUUACGCAACCUACCGACUGAAAGUUGUCUUCUUGCGGUCAAGUACUAUCGAUAGUGAUGAUUUUAUAAUGUUUUCCAUGUUCGGGAUCUCGGCCGUUCUGAGAUCGGGAGAAAAGAAUGGAUUGUGCUUGAAAAUGUGGGUUGCCUUGGGGAUAUUAUUUCAUUCAAUGGGAAAUUCUAUGCCAUCGACGGAAACGGAAGAACUAUAGCCAUUGACCAAUCUUUAAACGUUAGGUUCCUACCACAUGUAGAGUGGUCGCGCUUCCAGAUGCAGAAAGUUCUUGGUUAAGUCCGUUGAUAAUUUGUUGUUCCUAGAAAUGUUUUGGGAAGCGGGGAAUGUGGUUCGUGUUAGAGUUUUGAGGAUGAAUGAAGAAGAGCACAAGUGGGAUGAGAUGGAUAGUUUGAGUUUGAGGGAUCGGAUCUUGUUUAUGGGUUUUCAUGAAGCAAUAUCCGCGCCAGCUUCGGAAUUUGGUUGGGGUAGAGGAAACCUCAUCUUCUAUCCGGAAAAUCUCUCCGACUAUCCAGGAUUUGGUAAUCAUGAGUAUGGAAUUUGGUAUAAAUAUAUGCUUGUGUUUGAUUUAGAAACAGGUACAGCCAGUCGCUUAGAGAAUUGCCCUGCCUACCGUAACUUGUUUUGGCCACCUCCAGAAUGGGUAACUUCUUCCACUGAAGUUAUAAGCAACUCCGCUCAUUCCAUAACUUCUGCUACAUCAAAAAGUGAGUGCACGUAUCUUGAACCCGAUUUAGCCAUCUCUCCAACAGCAAAUACCUUGAAAAUAGUAACUUCUUC